GGCCCAUGUGGCAAAGAACUGAGGGCAGCCUCUGGCCAACAGCUAACAAGGAAGUGAGGCCUGCAGAGCAACAAUUUGAAUGAAGCAGAAGAAACACUGUGCCAGUUUUGAGCCUAUGCCCCAGGAUCCCCCUCUUUCUCAGAACUCUGCUUCGUUUCCAUGAAAUGGACUUGUCUGCUGGAGGAUGAGACUCAUGGAAGAGAACCAAGGUACCCCAGCCAACAGCUAUAGGCAGAGCUUAUGUUUACACUAGUGUGUACAUAAGAGAGAAAGCAGCCGAGAUCUGAACUGCCUAGCUGAACCAGCCCAAAUUGCUGACCCACAGAAUCAUGAGCCAAAUAAACAGUCGUAUUUUAAGCUA